rnacentral:rRNA from 1 species
AUGAUGAUUCUAGUGUUGCUCCAGAGAAGGUUGCAGACAAGACCGUGUCAGGAACCAACUGCUCUGAUGGGGUGGAGUCAGCUGAACCUUAGUUGUCCAUUGGGGUUGUGGUUUCUGAUGCUGAGCAGGGCAAGACAGCUGGAGAUAUCAUUUUGGAGAAAUAUCCCGUCGAGGCUACUGUUGAGACUCGUGGUAGUGCUGCUACAGGCCUGGAGAAGUCUCCUGCAGCAGAGCCAUCAGUUGUUGUUGAUGCUAGUUCCCCAGCUGCUCCAACUGCUCCAACUGCUCCAACAGUUUUUGUUGUUUCAGAUUCUCCAGCUGCUCCAACUGCUGCUGCUGUCCUCGCUGAUGAUGUUGCAAUGUCUACUAUAG